rnacentral:rRNA from 1 species
UGCCAGCCGCCGCGGUAAUACGGAGGGUGCGAGCGUUAAUCGGAAUUACUGGGCGUAAAGCGCGCGUAGGUUGAUUGGUCAGUCAGAUGUGAAAGCCCCGGGCUCAACCUGGGAACUGCACCUGAUACUGCCAGUCUAGAAUACGGUAAAGGGUAGUGGAAUUUCCUGUGUAGCGGUGAAAUGCGUAGAUAUAGGGAGGAACACCAGUGGCGAAGGCGGCUCCCUGGCCAAAGACUGACGCUCAUGUGCGAAAGUGUGGGUAGCGAACAGGAUUAGAUA